UCUGGCUCAGGAUGAACGCUAGCGGAACGCCUAACACAUGCAAGUCGAACGGAUCUGCGUGUAGCAAUACAUAGUAGAAUUAGUGGCAAACGAGCGAGUAACGCGUGCCUAACCGGCCCUUAAGAUGGGAACAACUACGGAGACGUAGCUAAAUCCCAAUAUGCUCACGAUGGUGAAAUGCCGAUGCGAGGAAAGAUUUAUCGCUUAAGGAGGGGGCGCGUCCUAUCAGGUAGUUGGUUGAGGUAACGGCUCACCAAGCCUAUGACAGGUAGCUGGUCUGAGAUGAUGUCCAGCCGCGAUGGGACUGAGAUACGGCCCAUACUCCUACGGGAGGCAGCAGUGGGGAAUCUUGCACAAUGGACGAAAGUCUGAUGCAGCGAUCCCGCGUGAAGGAUGAAGCAUUACGGUGUGUAAACUUCUUUUUGGUGGAAGACGAAUGACGGUACACCAAGAAUAAGAGACGGCUAACUACGUGCCAGCCGCUGC
rnacentral:rRNA from 1 species